UACAGAGGCCCCGAGCGUUGUUCGGAUUUACUGGGCGUAAAGCGGGUGUAGGUGGUGACGUAAGUCAGAUGUGAAAGCCCUGGGCUUAACCCGGGAAUUGCAUUUGAUACUGCGUUGCUCGAGUAUGGGAGAGGAGAGUGGAAUUCCUAGUGUAGGGGUGAAAUCCGUAGAUAUUAGGAGGAAUACCGAUGGCGAAGGCAACUCUCUGGCCCGUAACUGACACUAAGACCCGAAAGCGUGGGUAGCAAAC
rnacentral:rRNA from 1 species